rnacentral:rRNA from 1 species
UGGGGAAUCUUCCGCAAUGGACGAAAGUCUGACGGAGCAACGCCGCGUGAGUGAAGAAGGUUUUCGGAUCGUAAAAACUCUGUCUUUUGGGGCGAACGUGAGUAUGGUGAACAAUCAUAGUCAGUGACGGUACCAAAGGAGGAAGCCACGGCUAACUACGUGCCAGCAGCCGCGGUAAUACGUAGGUGGCAAGCGUUGUCCGGAAUUAUUGGGCGUAAAGAGCGCGUAGGCGGGAUAGUCAGUCUGUUGUAAAGUGCGGGGCUCAACCCCGUGAUCGCAAUGGAAACAGCUAUUCUUGAGUGCAGGAGAGGAAAGUGGAAUUCCCAGUGUAGCGGUGAAAUGCGUAGAUAUUGGGAGGAACACCAGUGGCGAAGGCGACUUUCUGGACUGUGUCUGACGCUGAGGCGCGAAAGCCAGGGGGAGCGAACGGGAUUAGAUACCCCGGUAGUCCUGGCCGUAAACGAUGGGUACUAGGUGUGGGAGGUAUCGACCCCCUUUCCGUGCCGGAGUUAACGCAAUAAGUACCCCCG